CCUACGGGAGGCAGCAGUAAGGAAUAUUGGUCAAUGGAGGCAACUCUGAACCAGCCAUGCCGCGUGGAGGAUGAAGGUCCUCUGGAUUGUAAACUUCUUUUAUAUGGGACGAAAAAAGGCUUUUCUAAGUCGUCUGACGGUACCAUAUGAAUAAGCACCGGCUAACUCCGUGCCAGCAGCCGCGGUAAU
rnacentral:rRNA from 1 species